rnacentral:rRNA from 1 species
GGAGGGUGCAAACGUUGCUCGGAAUUAUUGGGCGUAAAGCGCAUGUAGGCGGUCCGUCAAGUCGGAUGUGAAAGCCCCGGGCUCAACCUGGGAAGUGCAUUCGAAACUGGCGGACUUGAGUACGGGAGAGGGUUGCGGAUUUCCCGGUGUAGAGGUGAAAUUCGUAGAUAUCGGGAGGAACACCAGAGGCGAAGGCGGCAACCUGGACCGAUACUGACGCUGAGAUGCGAAAGCGUGGGGAGCAAACAGGAUUAGAUACCCUGGUAGUCCACGCCGUAAACGAUGAGUGCUAGGUGUCGCGGGUAUUGACCCCCCUGCGGUGCCACAGCUAACGCGCUAAGCACUCCGCCUGGGGAGUACGGCCGCAAGGCUA